rnacentral:rRNA from 1 species
GACGAACGCUGGCGGCGUGCCUAACACAUGCAAGUGGAGCGACGAACCAGACUUCGGUCUGGGGCCAAGCCGCGAACGGGUGAGUAACACGUGGGUAACCUGCCCCGAUGAUCGGGACAACCCGGGGAAACCCGGGCUAAUACCGAAUGUGGUCGCGGUCCGUGAGGACCGUGACGAAAGGAAGCUUCGGCCUCCGCAUCGGGAUGGGCCCGCGGCCCAUUAGCUUGUUGGUGGGGUAACGGCCUACCAAGGCAUCGAUGGGUAGCUGGUCUGAGAGGACGAUCAGCCACACUGGGACUGAGACACGGCCCAGACUCCUACGGGAGGCAGCAGUGGGGAAUCUUGCGCAGUGCGCGAAAGCGUGACGCAGCAACGCCGCGUGGGGGAAGAAGGCUCUCGGGUCGUAAACCCCUUUCAGUUGGGACGAAGCUUCGCCGGUGAAUAGCCGGCCGGAGUGGCGGUACCUUCACAAGAAGCCCCGGCUAACUACGUGCCAGCCGCCGCAGUAAAAC